rnacentral:lncRNA from 1 species
GACAAAAUCCCUAACCCUAUCUAUUGUGCUGUGCGGUUGUGCCUUCCUCCAUUUUUUUUCCAUUUCCAAAAUCGACAGAGUCUUCCAAUACCGAUCCACCUCCACCGUCAAGACAUCCACCUCUGAUCGGUUUGUUACAGGUACGGGUUUGCUCAUCUUCUUCGGUUUCCUCGUUUUCAUUCUCUUUAUUAAAAACAACUGUUCUUUUAAUGAAUUUAUGCAUCAAAACAGCAAUAACCUGAAAUGCAGACUGAAAUCAAGAGUAGAUAAUGCUAAGUUCCCACUUUCUGCAGAUUACCCACUCUUUUACCUCUCAAGAUGAUUCGCUUAAUUUUAGUUACAAAACAUACAGGCAUGAUGUGUUUUGUUUACUUAAUUUAACAUUCUUACUUCAUUUCUAAUUGCAGUUUUCUUUCAACUUCUUUCUACUGAAGUUACACACACUUCAUUUGGGGCAUCCUUUUGCUGAAUGUUAACCAAUGUUGACUAUUCGAGAACUAUACCACAUCGACAUAUAAGAAUGUUAAAUUAGAUAAAGCAAGUUUUGAGAAAUUAAUUACAGAUGGAAUUCACGUUAGAGGUUAGCUUUUUGGCCUUUUGAAUUGCGAAUUCGGUUUAGUUUAUUCCUUUAAAUAGGGUAACAUAUGCAGAUAACAUGUGCCAAUGCUCUGUAAUGCUCUGUUUGUUUCUAUCAAAUUGCAUCAUUUCAGUAUAUUUGAAAUUUAUUUUUAUUGUUGCUUAAUUUAUUAUUUUGGUGAUAAAUUUGAAGCUAAAAAAAUGGGUAAAAGUUUGAAGGCAAAAGAGAAGAAAAAUAAGUGAUUGAUGAUGUUUACUGAAAUGCAAAAUGAAAAAUCAUGUUGCUGUUGAUUCGUGGAUAGGUCUUGGAAGUUGAUUAUGUUGUAAACAUGUUUUUAGGUAUAAUUAGCAUGCUAUAAGAUUUUGCAUAGCUCUUAAAGAUUAUGUUUAUGGAUUAUUAUAGUGUGCUUGAGUGAUUCAUCUUGUAGUGCUUUAUGUAAUUCCUGGGGAAUAGUUGGUUAAGUCAUGUAAUUCCUGAGGAAUAGUUGUUUCGAACUUUUGGGUUUAAUUCAAUUAUGAAGAUUUUUCCAUUAUGAGGGUCUUAUUUUCUGUUUGUUUCUGUCUAAGUUUAUAGAAGUGUAUAAUAAAAGUGUUGUUGAAAAAUAUAUAUAUUCCCUUCCAUUUCUGUCUGUUAAUCUAUAAUAAAAGUUUAUAUGAAAUUUGUCAAUUAGCUUUCUGUUAAUCUAUGAUUCAAUCAAAUAAUUAAG